UGAGGCAAGGUGAGACAGUUGCCUCAGGCAGCCGGUUAUUGCGGGACCAACCAGGUAGCAAAAUGCUUCCCAGCCACUGCCAUUGGAACAUCUCUUUGGAACUGAUCUGAUCCUUGCAAAGCUUGCAGGAAGUACAAGGUUCAUAAAUAGAAGCACCCAGGAAUGAGAGAUUGAGUUUAAGGAGAUAUAAUAGUGCUGGACAAGGGCAUUAAGCCAAGCUCACUCCAAGCUUUGAUCUAUAAAUACAUCUGGUGUUUUCAACUACG